CCCUAAGGUCUAAAUACACUAAAGGUGCCAGAUCUCAUCUGAUCUUGGAAGCUAAGCAGGAUCAGACCUGGUUAAUAUGUGGUUGGGAAAUUGCCAAUAACUAUCGAGUGCUUUAGGCU
rnacentral:rRNA from 11 species